CAGGGAAUAGUUUAUCUAGAAUUUCAGCUUUGGGUGCUGAUGGUGGAGCUUGAGCUUCUUCCUUGA
rnacentral:tRNA from 1 species